rnacentral:rRNA from 1 species
GACGAACGCUGGCGGCGUGCUUAACACAUGCAAGUCGAACGAAGUGGCGAACGGGUGAGUAACGCGUAAGCAACCUGCCCUUCAGAGGGGGACAACAGGUGGAAACGACGGCUAAUACCGAAAACUGAAGGAGGGGAGUGCGUCGGAUUAGCUAGUUGGCGGGGUAACGGCCAACCAAGGCGAUGAACAGUAGCCGGUCUGAGAGGAUGAACGGCCACAUUGGGACUGAGACACGGCCCAGACUCCUACGGGAGGCAGCAGUGGGGAAUCUUCCGCAAUGGACGAAAGUCUGACGGAGCAACGCCGCGUGAGUGAUGACGGCCUUCGGGUUGUAAAGCUCUGUUAAUCGGGACGCGUUACCGGAAUAGAAAGCCACGGCUAACUACGUGCCAGCAGCCGCGGUAAUAC